CUUCUGUAUAUAAAGGCUCACUGAAUGGCAAUGAUCAUCAUCACCCAGCGCUCCAAAACAUCACGACCCCUGUCACAGAAUUGCACCGCGCUCGUUUAUCAGCAUGAAGUUUAUUGUGGUUCUGUUCUUCGCCAUGCUUGCCGUAGCCGCUGCGCAGCGCAGGACUAGAUUACUGCUCCCCAGACUUCCAGUUCUCCCCUCAUUUGGAGAUGAGGAGUAUGCUGCUUCUCUAGGGGGAGCCCCUAUCGGUUUGUACAGGAGGAACGAUGGCAGGGACGGGUUCGGUAGGUCCCAAGGUGGCUCUGAAGUGUCUGGAAUCUCUCUGGGAGGUGCCAAAGUUGGUCUGUACGGAAGGGAGCGCCCAAACAGGUUUCCACUUUUGGGAUAAGAAACAUAAAUCAGCCUUUACUGAUGCCGAAAUGGAGACGAAUUUCAACCACUGAACUUGGACCGAAGCACCCGGAAACGACCUGAAAGUGAAUGUAACUGCCACCGGAACAAAGACUGAAUGAAAUAAAAAAUGAAUAGAAGCCUAUUCUGUCAUUUUUUUUAUUU